UACGUAGGGGGGCAAGCGUUGUCCGGAAUCAUUGGGCGUAAAGAGCGUGUAGGCGGCCAGAUAAGUCCGCUGUGAAAUCUCGAGGCUCAACUUCGAGCUGUCGGUGGAAACUGUCUGGCUAGAGUCCGGAAGAGGAGAAUGGAAUUCCUGGUGUAGCGGUGAAAUGCGCAGAUAUCAGGAAGAACACCCGUGGCGAAGGCGGUUCUCUGGGACGGUACUGACGCUGAGACGCGAAAGCGUGGGGAGCGAACAGG
rnacentral:rRNA from 1 species